UACGAAGGGGGCUAGCGUUGCUCGGAAUCACUGGGCGUAAAGGGUGCGUAGGCGGGUCUUUAAGUCAGGGGUGAAAUCCUGGAGCUCAACUCCAGAACUGCCUUUGAUACUGAAGAUCUUGAGUUCGGGAGAGGUGAGUGGAACUGCGAGUGUAGAGGUGAAAUUCGUAGAUAUUCGGAAGAACACCAGUGGCGAAGGCGGCUCACUGGCCCGGUACUGACGCUGAGAUGCGGAAGCGUGGGGAGCAAACAGG
rnacentral:rRNA from 1 species